rnacentral:rRNA from 1 species
GACAGAGGCCACAAGCGUUAGGCGGAAUCACUGGGCUUAAAGCGUGUGUAGGCGGAUCGUUAAGUGCCUUGUGAAAUCCCACAGCUUAACUGUGGAACUGCUUGGCAUACUGGCGGUCUUGAGCCAUCUAGGGGUUGCUGGAACAAACGGUGGAGCGGUGAAAUGCGUAGAUAUCGUUUGGAACGCCAAUGGUGAAAACAGGCAACUGGGGAUGUGCUGACGCUGGAGACACGAAAGCCAGGGGAGCAAACGGG